AAAAAACAAAAAAAAGAAACAGAAAAAUGAAAGAAAAGUUUCAGGUCAUGUACAAAUUUAAGUGCUAAAAAAUUUGCUGGAUUAUGUGGUAGUUGAUGAAGUUGUUGCGCGGGGAAUUAAAUGUCAAAUGUUUGAUCUGAGCUCGACGCAUUGUUGCUCCAGUAAUUCACUAAUAGAUUUCUCUGCCAAAUAUUGGAUUUUGAUGAUGAUCUACUCCUCCCUAAUCUCGCCAACUUCCACACGUGGGCCAGGCAAACAAAACUUUUGAUUAUUACUGGCAGCCCACGCGCAUAAAACUUAAGACAAACACAGCUGACGUUUUUUGUGAGAGAGAGAGAGAGAGAGAGAAAUAAAGAUAGUCAGUGUGGGUUGGCUUGGAGGCUCUGCGGCCUAUCAAGAUAAAUAUUAGGUACAUUUUACGCCCGCUUAUUAUUUUUAGCCGAGGCAAAGUUGAACUUUUAGCGCGAGCGAAUACCGAAACUAACUAAGGAAGCAAGUAGCAACAAAAUUCUGCAGAAAUUGGGGAAAAGAUACUGGGUAUUUGGCUGGAAAUUGAAGUCCCAGCGCAGCUGAUGUAAAAAUAAUUUUCGGUACACGCCAGACAUAAGCCCGAAGCUGUUGCUUUGCCAACGACUUCGUAGUUUACUUCAAGUGCGGCGGGGCCAAUGAAGAUAUUA